GCCUGUCUUUCGCUAUUGAGAUCUUCUUGAGGUAUUCUGCCAUGGUUGAAUCGUUCUUCUUGAUAUUUUGUAAUUGAAAACGAAGAUGUAACACCCUUGUUUAUGAAUCUGAAGAAUACAACUCGUUCAAACAUUUCCAUACUUCUGCAGAAGUUGUUAGUGCCGAAACUUGCGGUAAUAUUGACGACGAGAGCGACGUCAAGAUGAGCUGGUCCUGUUGUUCAGCAACGGAUCCCAGAGUGAGCUCCUUUAUGCCGUCGACGUAAUCAAUAAGCUGAUAGCCUCGAAGUACAGCAGAAAAUUGUGCUUUCCAACUGAGAAAAUUUUCUUCCUCCAGUGUUAUGCAUUUGAUCUGCUUCAUGAUAAUCUUUUCUCUUUUUCGAGAUCCAGAUAGAUAUGCAACGGAAUUUGGAUCUUGAGCCGAGGAAGAAGAAGCCCCCCCACCUUGUGAUGAUGCCAUGUUGGAAUUGAAAAAGUUAUCAAAACAAUCAAGCUUUCAAUUGUAUUAGCUUGAAUCACUAAAAACUCUAUUUCA
rnacentral:lncRNA from 1 species